rnacentral:lncRNA from 1 species
AGAAAAAGUAAGUUAACUUUAACAUAGUUUUCAAAUACUUUCAAUAGUAUAGUUCAAAUUUAACGGAACCAAUCGUCGAUUUGAAAACUAUAUCAUUUAAAACAACUUGGUAGUACAAAGACAUCCGUACUACCAAUAGUAUAUCAGCUUAACUAUAUAUAUAUAUAUAUAUAUAUAGAGAGAGAGAGAGAGAGAGAGAGAGAGAGAGAGAGAGAGAGAGAGAGAGCAGGACUGCUGUGCUUUCAAGAGCACGGAGGCCUCUGUGCUUCUGAGCCAUUUUCGAUGAUGAAAUUUCCGAAUCGACGAUCAGCUCCGUUAGACUUGAUCUAGCGUCUUUGAAGUUUCUAGAAAAUAAUUUUUGUGAUUUUUUUAUAUCAUUUACCUAGCAAUCGAAAGGAAUCAAAAUCAAUAUUUUUUAACGACUGAAAAUAAAAAUCAUAUAAAAGGUGGUGAUAUAGUACUAAAAUUUUCGAUCAGAAAUAUUGAUCUUGUUGUAGAUAGUAUAAAGAAUUUUGUAUCAAAAUUUUAUCUGAUUUGAAUAUUUCUAUACCGUUAAACUUGAAAACGAUAGAUAUCAACCAUUAAAAAUUAUUAAUUUUGAAUACUUUCGAUCACUAGGUAAAUGAUAUCAAAAAAUCGUAAAAAUUAUUUUCUAAAAACUUCAAAUACCCUAGAUCAAGUCUAACGAAGCCGAUCGUCGAUUCGAAAAUUUCAUCAUCGAAAACAGUUUAGGAGUAUGGAAGCCUCUAUGCUCUUGAGAGCAUAGCAGCCCUGCUAUAUAUAUAUAUAUAUAUAU